GGGGGCUGCAGUGGCAGCCCCCGUGAAAAGAAUCCAGAAGCCUCUCCAUGGCAGAUAAGGGACAAUUUCAUCUGGCCCAAAGGGGCCCACCGCAGCCCAGAGCCAAGCCAUGAGCAGCACAGUCCAUGCCUUUGUGAGAGUGCAUCCAAGAAAAUGAAAACAAACAAAGAAACAAAAACCUGCUGCUUAACAGUAGCUGGGAGAGAGCGAGAAACCUCCCCGCAGACACCAAAGUCAGCGCAGAACGAGAGGGAGGAGGCGCUCCAGGCGCUGGAGCCAAAGCCCCCCUUACGGCCUGUGGAGACGCCCCUGGUGGAGCAGGCUGUCCUUCCCCCUUCCCCGAUACUUGGGAAA